rnacentral:misc_RNA from 1 species
GAUGAAGAACGCAGCGAAAUGCGAUAAGUAGUGUGAAUUGCAGAAUUCAGUGAAUCAUCGAAUCUUUGAACGCACAUUGCGCCCCUUGGUAUUCCAUGGGGCAUGCCUGUUCGAGCGUCAUUUGUACCCUCAAGCUCUGCUUGGUGUUGGGUGUUUGUCCGCGCUUUGCACGGACUCGCCUUAAAACAAUUGGCAGCCAGUGUAUCAGCCUUGGAGCGCAGCACAUUUUGCGUCUUCAGCCGGUACGCUGGUAUCCAGUAAGCCUAAUUUUAACGCUUGACCUCGGAUCAGGUAGGGAUACCCGCUGAACUUAAGCAUAUCAAUAAGCGGAGGA